AAGUCGUAACAAGGUUUCCGUAGGUGAACCUGCGGAAGGAUCAUUAACAAUCUAAUCUUAUCUGGCGAAGCAGAUUUGCGGAUGUGCUGAUUGGGAUCAAUUCACCGGCUUCGGAUAACCUCCGGGUGAGUGUGGGUUUCUCAGUUUAGUGCUUCAUGCAAGGAUGCUAGCUAGGCACGCUUGGCAAAAUCUGUGUCUCUAGAGAUUCAUUUCUUUAGAGAUGCAUAAUAAACAAGUAACCUGGGGUACUUUAAGAUGAAGUGCUUUACUGUGCUUUGUCUUAGAGCCCUUCUAAUAAUCCCUAUUUUACCAUUUUACCCCUUGAUAAACUAUAAGACUGAUAUGACAUGAUAAAUGUCAAACUUAAAACUAUGAAACAACUCUUAACAAUGGAUAUCUAGGCUCUG
rnacentral:misc_RNA from 1 species